rnacentral:rRNA from 1 species
UGCGUAGGCGGGAGAUUAAGUCAGUGGUGAAAUCCUGCAGCUUAACUGUAGAACUGCCAUUGAUACUGGUUUCCUUGAGUAUAGUUGAAGUGGGCGGAAUGUGUAUUGUAGCGGUGAAAUGCUUAGAUAUUACACAGAACACCUAUUGCGAAGGCAGCUCACUAAACUAAUACUGACGCUGAGGCACGAAAGCGUGGGGAGCAAACAGGAUUAGAUACCCUGGUAGUC